rnacentral:rRNA from 1 species
CACACUAUCAUUACGUGAAUACAUAGCGUAAUGAAGCGAACCGGGGGAACUGAAACAUCUAAGUACCCCGAGGAAAAGAAAUCAACCGAGAUUCCCCCAGUAGCGGCGAGCGAACGGGGAGCAGCCCAGAGUCUGAAUCAGCUUGUGUGUUAGUGGAACGGUCUGGAAAGUCCGACGGUACAGGGUGAUAGUCCCGUACACCAAAAUGCACAGGUUGUGAACUCGAAGAGUAGGGCGGGACACGUGGUAUCCUGUCUGAAUAUGGGGGGACCAUCCUCCAAGGCUAAAUACUCCUGACUGACCGAUAGUGAACCAGUACCGUGAGGGAAAGGCGAAAAGAACCCCGGCGAGGGGAGUGAAAAAGAACCUGAAACCGUGUACGUACAAGCAGUGGGAGCCUCUUUAUGGGGUGACUGCGUACCUUUUGUAUAAUGGGUCAGCGACUUAUAUUCUGUAGCAAGGUUAACCGUAUAGGGGAGCCGAAGGGAAACCGAGUCUUAACUGGGCGUUAAGUUGCAGGGUAUAGACCCGAAACCCGGUGAUCUAGCCAUGGGCAGGUUGAAGGUUGGGUAACACUAACUGGAGGACCGAACCGACUAAUGUUGAAAAAUUAGCGGAUGACUUGUGGCUGGGGGUGAAAGGCCAAUCAAACCGGGAGAUAGCUGGUUCUCCCCGAAAGCUAUUUAGGUAGCGCCUCGUGAAUUCAUCUUCGGGGGUAGAGCACUGUUUCGGCUAGGGGGUCAUCCCGACUUACCAACCCGAUGCAAACUGCGAAUACCGAAGAAUGUUAUCACGGGAGACACACGGCGGGUGCUAACGUCCGUCGUGAAGAGGGAAACAACCCAGACCGCCAGCUAAGGUCCCAAAGUCAUGGUUAAGUGGGAAACGAUGUGGGAAGGCACAGACAGCCAGGAUGUUGGCUUAGAAGCAGCCAUCAUUUAAAGAAAGCGUAAUAGCUCACUGGUCGAGUCGGCCUGCGCGGAAGAUGUAACGGGGCUAAACCAUGCACCGAAGCUGCGGCAGCGACACUAUGUGUUGUUGGGUAGGGGAGCGUUCUGUAAGCCGUUGAAGGUG